AAUUGAGGGGGGCUGCUCCUAGUACGAGAGGACCGGAGUGGACGCAUCACUGGUGUUCGGGUUGUCAUGCCAAUGGCAUUGCCCGGUAGCUACAUGCGGAAGAGAUAAGUGCUGAAAGCAUCUAAGCACGAAACUUGCCCCGAGAUGAGUUCUCCCUGAGACUUUAAGUCUCCUGAAGGAACGUUGAAGACGACGACGUUGAUAGGCUGGGUGUGUAAGUGCAGCGAUGCAUUGAGCUAACCAGUACUAAUGAACCGUGAGGCUUAACCUU
rnacentral:rRNA from 1 species